AACGAACGUUGGCGGCGUGGAUUAGGCAUGCAAGUCGAACGAAUCCCAUCUGGGUAACUGGGUGGGGGAAGUGGCGAAAGGGGCAGUAAGGCAUGGGUAACCUACCCCGGGGACGGGGAUAGCCAUCCUAACGGAUGGGUAAUACCUGGCGAUCUGGCGAGGAGACAUCUCUUUGCCAGGAAAGGAAUUUCGCCUCGGGAGGGGCCCAUGUAGUAUUAGCUUGUUGGUAGGGUAACGGCCUACCAAGGCCAAGAUGCUUAGCAGGUGUGAGAGCACGACCUGCGCCACUGGCACUGUGACACUGGCCAGACUCCUACGGGAGGCUGCAGUCGAGGAUCUUCGGCAAUGGGCNCAAGCCUGACCGAGCGACGCCGCGUGUGCGAUGAAGGCCU
rnacentral:rRNA from 1 species